GGUGUGCCUACGUUAAUACAAUUGAUGGCUAAACAAUGAAUUAUUGUCUUGUGUGUAGCUUUCCUAUUUAUUUUGGUUCUAACCCUUUCCCAUAGAUCAGAAUCGAAUUGGCUGCUUAUAUAUAUUAUCCACAACUUUUUCUUCUAAAUAUAACUCAUGAGCAUGUAAAUAUAUAUUAUAUACAGGAGUGUUAAUUUACUAUCCGCCUCGAU
rnacentral:lncRNA from 1 species